UUUGCCUACGGGGGGCAGCAGUGGGGAAUAUUGCACAAUGGGGGAAACCCUGAUGCAGCAACGCCGCGUGAGUGAAGAAGUAUUUCGGUAUGUAAAGCUCUAUCAGCAGGGAAGAAAGAAAUGACGGUACCUGACUAAGAAGCCCCGGCUAACUACGUGCCAGCAGCCGCGGUAAUACGUAGGGGGCAAGCGUUAUCCGGAUUUACUGGGUGUAAAGGGAGCGUAGACGGCGAUGCAAGUCUGAAGUGAAAGGCGGGGGCCCAACCCCCGGACUGCUUUGG
rnacentral:rRNA from 1 species